UUUCCGUAGGUGAACCUGCGGAAGGAUCAUUAUUGUAUAACAGAGGUGCGAGUGCUGUCGCUGACUCGAGAGGUCGUGCACGCCCGAGUGCCCUCACACACAUCCAUCUCACCCCUAUGUGCACCUCCACGUGGGUCCCCCUUUGGCUUGUUCGGAGGGGGGCUUACGUUUUCACUCAUCCUUAGUAUGCAGUGUAGAAUGUAUUUUUUGUGUUUGCUAUCACGCAAUCAAUACAACUUUCAACAACGGAUCUCUUGGCUCUC
rnacentral:misc_RNA from 1 species